CAAGUCGUUUAAUAUGGUGAACCAUGACUCAUCCCACAGAACAGAUGAGUAAUGGAAAAGUUUGGAGAUUUCAUCUUACAUCAUAUCUGUGCUAAAACCUGAAGAAAUAGUGGAAAUAACAGAAACUGCAGCUACCCAUUGGCCAGUACAACAGUUGGUUACAAUGGAAACACUGGAUGCAGGCUGGUGGACAGACAUCACAGACCUGCACAUGCUGAACAUGAACAUUUGCGCCCACCUGGCUGAGCCAAUCAGUGCCA